rnacentral:rRNA from 1 species
AAGAAGGGAGCUAGCGUUGUUCGGAAUUACUGGGCGUAAAGGGCGCGUAGGCGGUUUAACAAGUCAGGUGUGAAAGCCCUGGGAUCAACCCGGGAAUUGCGCUUGAUACUGUUAAGCUUGAAUUCGGUAGAGGUUGGUGGAAUUCCCAGUGUAGAGGUGAAAUUCGUAGAGAUUGGGAAGAACACCCGUGGCGAAGGCGGCCAACUGGACCGACAUUGACGCUGAUCCGCGAAAGCGUGUGGAGCAAACAG